ensembl:lncRNA
CUUAAACACUUGUGUAUGGCUGUAUAACAAUAAGUCCUAGAGACGGGGUGCAGACUGGUCAGUACAGAUUUCUCUUCAGACUUCAAUACACACUACUAUAUUUAUAGGUUUCAGGUGCGUCCAUUAUGUUAACAGGAUUGUAUUGAGUAUUUUUGUACAGCUAAUAACAUGGAACGGUACUGGACUCAACGAUGGUCCCAGUUUUCCUGAUGAAAGAUAUUUUACGUAAAAGAAGCAGGUACUUUAUUUCCACAUAAGGCCCUUAUUAACACAGGUCUGGUACUGUGUGUGUGAGACGCAUGGACACACACACACACACACACACACACACGUCAGUGUGUCCUGUUGAGUCUAGGCGACACCCGCUGUUUCUGUGACUCCACUAGUCAGUCAGUAGAGCUGCUGGGUCACACACACACAAGGGGGGCUGGAUGUUGUCAGGGGUUCCAGUAACCUGACUCUACCCCCAAGGUGCUGGGCAUACUUGCCCCCCUGUGCAACACACUAACACACUCAAUACACAUGGACACACUUACACACUCAAUACACACACGGACUUACACACACAAUAUACACACGGACACACACACUCAAUACACACACGGAGACACACAAACGGACACACUCAAUACACACACUGACACACACACACUGACACACACACGGAUAUACACACUCAAUACACACACGGAGACACACAAACGGACACACUCAAUACACACACUGACACACACACACUGACACACACACGGAUAUACACACACAAUACACACACGGACACACACACAUACACACACUGACACACACACGGACACACACUAAAUACACACAUACACACACACACGGACACACACACGGAUACACACACAUACACACUCAUUACACACACACACACACACACACGGACACACUCAAUACACACAGAUACACACUCAAUACACACACGGACACACACUAAAUACAUACACGGACACACACGGAUACACACACAUACACACUCAUUACACACACACACACACACACACGGACACACUCAAUACACACAGAUACACACUCAAUACACACACACACGGACACACACUCAAUACACACACACACGGACACACACUAAAUACACACACACACGGACACACACUAAAUACACACACACACACGGACACACACUAAAUACAAACACACACGGACACACACAAUACAGACACGGGCACACACAAUGGACACACUCCAUACACACACACACGGACACACACACGGAUACACACACAUACACACUCAUUACACACACACACACACACACACGGACACACUCAAUACACACAGAUACACACUCAAUACACACACACACGGACACACACUCAAUACACACACACACGGACACACACUCAAUACACACACACACGGGACACACACUAAAAAUACACACACACACGGACACACACUAAAUACACACACACACGGACACACACAAUACAGACACGGGCACACACUAAAUACACACACACACACGGACACACACUAAAUACACACACACACGGACACACACAAUACAGACACGGGCACACACUAAAUACACACACACACACACACUAAAUACACACACACACGGACACACACAAUACAGACACGGGCACACGCAAUGGACACACUCCAUACACACACGGACGGGGGACACACACCCUCAAUACACACAAACACCUCUGUCAGCCUCGAACUUCCCUGCUUAUGCACGCUAGACCCUUCCCACUGCCAAUAGGAGAGAGAGAAGAUAGUGAGGGUGUGUUCUCGAUCUCGACACAUCCACAGGAACCAGUGGUUUGCUGGAAGGGUCAGGGUCAAGGUGAGGGUUAUGGUCAGGGAUAGGGUCAGGGUUAGGGUCAAGGUAAUGGUUAGGGUCAAGGUGAGGGUUAUGGUAAUGGUCAGGGUCAAGGUGAGGGUUAUGGUAAUGGUUAGGGUUAUGGUAAUGGUUAGGGUAAUGGUUAGGGUCAAGGUGAGGGUGAGGGUAAUGGUUAGGGUCAAGGUGAGGGUAAGGGUUAUGGUAAGGGUCUGGGUGAUGGUUAGGGUUAUGGUAAUGGUUAGGGUCAGGGUCAAGGUGAGGGUUAUGGUGAGGGUAAUGGUUAGGGUGAGGGUAAUGGUUAGGGUCAAGGUGAGGGUUAG